AAGAGAGAAUCAGCAAAGCUGGUGGUAGCAGAAAUGGACAAAAUGCUGGGAGCAGAUGCACGUGCAUUGGAAGUCCCGUGGAUGACAGAUUAUGUGCACAAGGCCAGAAGCGACAGUCUCUAGAAAGAGGAUGAUUUGGAGCAAGCAGCAACUCUCAGUCUUCCUGAAGAGAAGAAAUAACUGCCUCCCCUGAGGAUUCCUGGUUGUUUUCUAGCUGUCAAUCGUGCAUGUGAGAAGAUAAAUAUUCCCUGUUGUCUUGUACUUCCUACUGAGUGGAUCAUCCACUCAGUACAUGUAAUGUCGUGAAGAAGAGCAGCAGAACAAUUUUCUUUUGUGAUGCGUUCCUCCAAGAGGAAAAUAUUUUUAAAGGAGAAGAAAAGGGAAGAAGAUACUGGAUUUAGUGAAGACGUACCAGCUAGCUUGUAGAAGUCCAUUUCUCUCUCAUGUUCAGACAUCACGCAAGAGAUGCUCACACUUGCUUUGUCAGCUGCAUACACAAAUUCAUUUGCUGUGGAAUCCCGGUCCCACUGAGGCCAAUGAAUUUUUUGUCAUUGGUUUUAAUGAAGCAAAAAUCACAUGCUAUGGCUCAGGGCUUUUCUUUCUUUCUUUUUUUGUUUGUUCUUUUCUUUUCUUUUUUCUUUUUUUCUUUUCCAAAUGUUUACAUUCACAGGAACAGUUUUAUCUGGGGAGCACAGUGGUAAUAAUGUCAGUUCCAAUUCUUACACAAUAAAAUGUUUCCAAGAGGAGAAUGUCCUUGACUUAAAACAGUGCUUAUUCUGAACAUAUUCAUACGAAUAUAAAUACUGGUAGUAUCAUCUGGAAUGAAAACUGAUGCUUAUUUUUCCAAACUGGCCCAUGUGGCUCAAAAGCCAGAAUAAGGAAAGAAUCCUCCUGAUGCAUUACUGUGCUAAUAGUAAGGCCCAUGCCCAGGUCUGUUUUGAACAUG
rnacentral:lncRNA from 1 species